rnacentral:rRNA from 1 species
UACGUAGGUGGCAAGCGUUGUCCGGAUUUACUGGGCGUAAAGCGUAUGUAGGCGGAUGCUUAAGUAGGAAGUGAAAGGUUCGAGCUCAACUCGGACACUGCUCCCUAUACUGGGCGUCUUGAGGGUCGGAGAGGAAGGCGGAACGACACGUGUAGCGGUGAAAUGCGUUGAUAUGUGUCGGAACACCAAUGGCGAAGGCAGCUUUCUGGACGAUUUCUGACGCUGAGAUACGAAAGCCGAGGUAGCGAACAGG